rnacentral:rRNA from 1 species
UACGUAGGGGGCUAGCGUUGUCCGGAAUCAUUGGGCGUAAAGAGCGUGUAGGCGGCCCGGUAAGUCCGCUGUAAAAGUCAAAGGCUCAACCUUUGAAUGUCAGUGGAUACUGCCGGGCUAGAGUCCGGAAGAGGCGAGUGGAACUCCUGGUGUAGCGGUGGAAUGCGCAGAUAUCAGGAGGAACACCGGUGGCGAAGGCGGGUCUCUGGGCCGAUACUGACGCUGAGGAGCGAAAGCGUGGGGAGCAAACAGG